CGUGAGAUGUUGGGUUAAGUCCCGCAACGAGCGCAACCCUUGCCAUUAGUUGCUACGAAAAGGGCACUCUAAUGGGACUGCCGGUGACAAACCGGAGGAAGGUGGGGAUGACGUCAGGUCAUCAUGGCCCUUAUGGGUAGGGCUACACACGUCAUACAAUGGCCGGUACAGAGGGCUGCCAACCCGCGAGGGGGAGCCAAUCCCAGAAAACCGGUCGUAGUCCGGAUCGUAGUCUGCAACUCGACUGCG
rnacentral:rRNA from 1 species